AUUUAUAUUAGAUAUAUAUAUAUAAUUUUGCAUCUAUGGGUAAGAGAGGAAAGAAAUGUUAGCCGAAGAGAAAUGAAGUGGAGAUUGAAACUGGUCAUUGGCGCUGUCCCACUUGGUAUAGUUAAUGGGUUGGUUUUUGUUGUUUUGUAUAAUAUAUAUAAAUAUAUAUAUAUAUAUAUAUAUAUAUAUAUAUUGUAUCUUAUGGUGAUAAGAAGAGAAGAGAGUAGCCGAGGUCAGAGAGAGAGAAAGGAAAAAAGAGAAAAGAGAUAAAGAUGGAUUGUAAUGAUGGUGUGGGUCCCAUUAGUUAUUUUUUUUUUUUUGGGUAAAGCUGAAUUGAUCACAUGGGUUGGAGUGUGAUCAUAUAUUAAUAGAUAUGAUAUGAUAAGGAAGAAAAGAAAAUGAAGGUAAGAAAUUGGCUGGUGGGGUCCAUUGAGCUGAUAUUUGUAUUAGGUGUCGGUGGAAUGUCUAUUUACUGGAGUAUCCGCCUUAAGUGUUUCAUGCACAAAGUGAGUUUACAGAGAGUGAGUUUUGAGGAAAAACAGAGGAGCCGAGAGUCUGCAGAGGUGGUCUUGGAGUGUGAAGCUUUGAUAAUCAGUGGGGAAUUAAUCAUUUUCAGAGUAUGAUUCUCUAUACCUUGAAUGGCAUGGGGUGGUUUUGCUUUAAAUGGUUUUAUUAAAUGUUUUGAUUAACUGCAUACUUUUUUUGUUUAUAUAUUCAUAUGAAUAUGUAUAUUUUGUGAAACUGUUUUGUUAAACCUUCACGAGAUUCUUGUUAUGGUUUUUCCUACUGGGACUUUCAGUCUCACCACCCUCCAGUUUCAGGUACCGAAGAAGUACGGGGAUUGUUAGAUUCGGGCUUAGGCUGAAGAGUCGAUGUUGUAGGAUUUAUUUUAUUUAUUUUGGAGAGUUUUAUGUAUAUUUGAGGAAAUUGACUUUAUAUAAACGAGUGCAUUGUUUUUGUGAUCCGUGGUGUAUUUUGAUGUACUUGGAAUAGUAUAAAUCGAGGAUUUUGUUAAAAAAUUCGGGUCGUGACAAAAUAAUAUUAGAGCAGUACCCAAUCGGAAGCGUUAGUGUAGUGAUGAUGUAGACGGGUGUGAGUGGGCGAGUGUGUAGUAAUGGUGAGCUACCACUCGUAGCCGGGUGUGUGUGGGCGGAUGGCGUUCAUCGGCAGCCACUGGGAUGGUUGGUUAGUGUGGUUGGACAGGUGGCCCAGAUUUGUUAUGGUUUGUGUUUUUUUAGUGGGCGGGUGACGCAUCGACUAGCUACCACAACGGUGACGGAGUGUGUGGGCGGGUGACUAGCAUUGGUAGCUACCAUAACGUCCUACAUAUCACUGUAUCUCAUAUCACCUGGGAUAGGGAUUUGUGGAUUUGGUUUUGAGGUUAUUAGUGUUUUCGGGUAUACGAAGACUGUUGGAUUCGAAUUUCGGAAAUGAAAUUCUUUUUAAGUGGUGGAGAUUGUGAUAACCCGGAUUUCUUUAGAUUUUAAUUUAUAAUUUUAUUAUUAUUAUUAUUAUUAUUAUUAUUAUUAUUAUUAUUUUAGUUUUGAGUUCGUUUUCAGUGGAGGUGUAAAUUGUAGUUUUUUUAUAUAGUUUAUAUAUAUAUAUAUAUAUAUAUAUAUAUAUUAUGAAGAAGCAACACGGUGCACAAAAUCAUUAGGAAGAGAAAUGGGUUUGGUCUGGUUUUGUAUAUAUAUUAGAUAUAUAUAUAAUUUUGCAUCUAUGGGUAAGAGAGGAAAGAAAUGUCAGUCGAAGAAAAAUGAAGUGGAGAUUGAAACUGGUCAUUGGCGCGGUCCCACUUGGUAUAGUUAAUGGGUUGGUUUUUGUUGCUUUGUAUAAUAUAUAUAUAUAUAUAUAUAUAUAUAUAUAUAUAUGUUGUAUCUUAUGGUGAUAAGAAGAAAAGAGAGCAGCUGAGGUCAGAGAGAGAGAAAAGAAAAAAGAGAAAAGAGAUAAAGAUGGAUUGUAAUGAUGGUAUAGGUCCCAUUAGUUGUUUUUUUUAGGCAAAGUUGAAUUGAUCACAUGGGUUGGAGUGUGAUCGUAUAUUAAUAGAUAAGAAGAGAAGAGAGCAACCGAGGUCUGAUAGAGAGAGAAAGGAAAAAAGAGAAAAGAGAUAAAGAUGGAUUGUAAUGAUGGUGUGGGUCCUAUUAGUUAUUUUUUUUGGGCAAAGCCGAAUUGAUCACAUAGGUUGGAGUGUGAUCGUAUAUUAAUAGAUAAGAAGAGAAGAGAGCAGCCGAGGUCUGAGAGACAGAGAAAGGAAAAAAGAGAAAAGAGAUAAAGAUGGAUUGUAAUGAUGGUGUGGGUCCCAUUAGUUGUUUUUUUUGGGUAAAGCUGAAUUGAUCACGUGGUCUGGAUUGUGAUCGUAUAUUAAUAGAUAUGAUGUGAUUAGAAAGAAAAGAAAAUGAAGGUAAGAAAUUGGGUGGUGGGGUCCAUUGAGCUGAUAUUUGUAUUGGGUGUUAGUGGAAUUGUCUAUUUAUUGGAGUAUCCGCCUUAAGUGUUUCAUGCACGAAGUGAGUUUACAGAGAGUGAGUUUUGAGGAAAAACUGAGGAGCCGAGAGUCUGCAGAGGUGGUCUUGGAGCUCGAAGCUUUGAUGAUCAGCGGGGAAUUAAUCAUUUUCAGAUUUCAGGUACCGAAGAUGGACGGGGAUUGCUAGAUUCGGGCUUAGGCUGAAGAGUCGGUGUUGCAUGAUUUAUUUUAUUUAUUUUGGGGAGUUUUAUGUACAUUUGAGGAAAUUGACUUUGUAUAAAAGAAGGCAUUUUUUUGUGAUCCUGGGUGUAUUUUAAUGUACUUGGAUUUGUAUAAAUCGAUGAUUUUGUUAGAAAAUUCGGGUCGUGACAAUUUAUUUAUGCAUUAUAGAUAUAUGUGAAAAUCAUGAAGUUCUAAGAUAUGGGAUUCAUGUAAAUUUGUGAUUAA